AGAGAACCAGGGUCAGCAGCGAGAGGCAGAACAGAGCACUAAAACCUAGUAGCAUCACAAAAACGAGGCAUUAACUGACGGGUGGUCUGAAGCCGGAGGGCAGUUUUAAAGACCACGCGAAAAGGGGUAGACCUACUCAACGCACUUUGCUGCGGGUCACAGUUAUUUUCUCAAAACCCCACAGGCCACGAAGAAAGGUGGCAGUCCCAGCCAAUGAGAGGCGGACACAAGUUGCACCUCCAGCGGCCGUCGGCGCCAUAGGCGGGGGAGAGAAAAAUGAACGAGCGCGCGUGCGCGGAGCGUUCAGUCGGGCGCGCGCAGAGGUACGGGCUGAAGAAAUGGGGGAAGGGUGGAAGAGGAAGAUAUGCGCACGCGCACGGGAGGCCGCGCGGGCUGUGGGUCUCCAGGCAGGUUCGCAAACACGCGCGCGCCCGCCGUUAGCACUGCUCAGCGCCCCCGCCCGGCCUUUUCGGCCCGUAGUGCCUCGAAAACCUGAGAGAAGCUAACGAAAAAACGCAUAAAUAACGGCGCAACGUCUCCUUGGUUCUCCUUUCGCCGCCAACCCGACACCACCCACAAAAGAGUCAAAAAUAUGGCCUGUCCUCGGUCUUCACUGCCCCUGGAGUAACUUGAAUACAUUGCGAGGCCUACCUGACACGCCGAAUCGCGGUUCCGGGAAUUUAUCUCCGUUGCAACCACACAGCGGCCAUUUCCCGACUCAAGAACGCGAGGAAAACCAUAGAGCUACCUUCGACGCGCUAGCACGUCUCCGUCACUUCCGAUCUGGGGCGUGGCCUCGGGUGCCGCUAAAUAUGCGGGCAAGCCCCGCCCACCCUUCCGCUCCGGUCCGGCUUCCUGGCUGCUAUUAAGAUGUUGCCUGCGGCCUUCUGGGAAGUCGCGUGGCUGGUCUCGCGGGAAGAUGUGACGGCUCCGCCCUCUGGCCCGUAGCGUCAGCCUUGGCCGGAGAGGCGGUAGAGUAGGAUGGAACAUCUGAACUAUUUCCGUAUUUGGGGAAAUUGAAGCUGAAGUGGUAUUUGGAGUCUCACUCUUCCCACUCCCUGAAAAUACUGGCAUUGGGAACCCAACAGUAGUAGUGGGAAGCAGGCAGCAGAGGAAACGUGACCAACAGAGAUUCCCUAACUAGAGUGCUGAUGGGGCCGGACUUUGGCUGUAGUUCCUGCUGCAUGGCCUCCAUUUGUGCAUAUCCCUCUACAGGCUUUGUGCUAAUUUCUUUUUUUAAUUUUAAGUGAUAAAAUGUUCAUUGAUUCUUUGAGCUAGCUGGUAUCCUUCCA
rnacentral:lncRNA from 10 species